rnacentral:rRNA from 1 species
AUGCUAUACAUGCAGUCGAGCGGACAGAAGGGAGCUUGCUCCCGGAUGUUAGCGGCGGACGGGUGAGUAACACGUGGGUAACCUGCCUGUAAGACUGGGAUAACUCCGGGAAACCGGAGCUAAUACCGGAUAGUUCCUUGAACCGCAUGGUUCAAGGAUGAAAGACGGUUUCGGCUGUCACUUACAGAUGGACCCGCGGCGCAUUAGCUAGUUGGUGGGGUAAUGGCUCACCAAGGCGACGAUGCGUAGCCGACCUGAGAGGGUGAUCGGCCACACUGGGACUGAGACACGGCCCAGACUCCUACGGGAGGCAGCAGUAGGGAAUCUUCCGCAAUGGACGAAAGUCUGACGGAGCAACGCCGCGUGAGUGAUGAAGGUUUUCGGAUCGUAAAGCUCUGUUGUUAGGGAAGAACAAGUGCGAGAGUAACUGCUCGCACCUUGAAGGUACCUAACCCAGAAAGCCACGGCUAACUACGUGCCAGCCGCCGCGGGUAUUACUAGGUGGCAAGCGUUGUCCGGAAUAUAUGGGGCCGUAAGGGGCUCGCAGGCGGUUUUCUUAAUCUGAUGUGAAAGCCCCCGCGCUCAACCCGGGGAAGGGUCUUGGAAACUGGAAACUUGAGUUGGCAAAAAAGAGAGUGGGAUAUCCCCUGUAACGGUGAAAUGCCGUUAAGAUGUGGAGAACACACCGGGGGGAAAGAAUUUGGGGAACAAAAAGGAUAUUUAUACCCCUGUGUGUCUCCCCCCCUAACACAGAAAUGUGUACCGGUGU